rnacentral:rRNA from 1 species
GAUGAACGCUGGCGGCGUGCCUAAUACAUGCAAGUCGAGCGAAGCGGGGACGGGUGAGUAACACGUGGAUAACCUCCUAUAAGACUGGGAUAACUUCGGGAAACCGGAGCUAAACCGGAUACGUAUAGAUGGAUCCGCGCUGCAUUGGCUGGUUGGUAAGGUAACGGCUUACCAAGGCAACGAUGCAUAGCCGACCUGAGAGGGUGAGCGGCCACACUGGAACUGAGACACGGUCCCAACUCCUACGGGAGUCAGCGGUGGGGAAUCUGCGGCAAUGGGCGGAAGCCUGACGGACUGACGCCGCGUGAGUGAUGAAGGGCUUCGGGUCGUAAAGCUCUGUUAUUAGGGAGGCGGUACCUGAUCAGGAAGCCACGGCUAACUACGUGCCAGCAGCCGCGGUAAUUC